GAUGAACGCUGGCGGCGUGCCUAAUACAUGCAAGUAGAACGCUGAAGGAGGAGCUUGCUCUUCUGGAUGAGUUGCGAACGGGUGAGUAACGCGUAGGUAACCUGCCUGGUAGCGGGGGAUAACUAUUGGAAACGAUAGCUAAUACCGCAUGACAACAGUUAUUGCAUGAUAACUGUUUAAAAGGGGCAACUGCUCCACUACCAGAUGGACCUGCGUUGUAUUAGCUAGUUGGUGAGGUAACGGCUCACCAAGGCGACGAUACAUAGCCGACCUGAGAGGGUGGUCGGCCACACUGGGACUGAGACACGGCCCAGACUCCUACGGGAGGCAGCAGUAGGGAAUCUUCGGCAAUGGACGGAAGUCUGACCGAGCAACGCCGCGUGAGGGAAGAAGGUUUUCGGAUCGUAAAGCUCUGUUGUAAGAGAAGAACGAGUGUGAGAGUGGAAAGUUCACACUGUGACGGUAUCUGACCAGAAAGGGACGGCUAACUACGUG
rnacentral:rRNA from 1 species